rnacentral:rRNA from 1 species
AUCAGCCGCCAUAUCACCCUGUAGCCCAAGACUGGUUGCCCACUGAAGCUAAGCAGGGCUGAGCCUGGUCAGUACCUGGAUGGGAGACCUCCUGGGAAAACUAGGUUGCUGCUGGAA